rnacentral:misc_RNA from 1 species
UGGGUUUGACAUAUAGGGAAAUCCUCCAGAGAUGGGGGGUCCGCAAGGGUCCUGCACAGGUGGUGCAUGGUUGUCGUCAGCUCGUGUCGUGAGAUGUUGGGUUAAGUCCCGCAACGAGCGCAACCCUCGUUCUAUGUUGCCAGCGCGUGAUGGCGGGGACUCAUAGGAGACUGCCGGGGUCAACUCGGAGGAAGGUGGGGAUGACGUCAGUGACCUUUGC